GAAAAUCUGAGGAAACCGAGACCAGAGUGGUUGAGAGGCUUACUCCAGUGUUACAGGCUGAUGCCGACUGACGGCAGAGGAUGUUGCUUGGAGCCGGUUCACUGCAGCCACACCGAGCCCAGCCCCGCUGGUCUGGUAUGUCCCAAGUCAAAAGUCACAGCAGCAUGACCGGAAAGACAGUUUCCACAGGACGAGUUAAAAGGUGGCAACUCUUCUCCCCAUCCAAAGCACACCACCAAGUCCAAGGAGGUCCUUGCUGAGCACCUGCAGCAGACCGUGGGCUGGCUCCUGGCUGUUCAGUUGCCCACACUGGGCCCAGCCAGCUUUGAAAGACGGUUUCCCUUCAAGUUCUCAAGAAUUCUAUCUAGACACAGAGGAAGGUUCAGUCCCUCCAAAGGUGCCUGAUACGGUCCCUUAAGUGUUGGCCAAGACUGACCCUGCUGCUCCUGUAUUAUUCAAACCUCCCUGUAAGACCUGGUUAUGAAAGAAAAGAUGAUCUGGACAAACAUCGGAAAGAUUGUUCCGAGAGGGCGAUAGGGAUGCCUCUUGAUGGCAGGAAACGUUCCCACAGGGAAGGGGUGGAAGUGAGACCACAAGACUGUGGUGAAGGAGAGACAAGCAUGUGGAAUCCAGAGAUGCCUCAGCAUCUUCCUGAAAGCCUCUUUUCCCAGACUCAGAGGGCUGGGGUAAGGGAAACUGACAUCUCCUAGAUGUCUGCUGGAACACUCUCAUUUUGAUGUCAUGAGCAUUUCAAGAUGCCUUUCAAUACUGCUAUUCUGAUCCAAAGGAGACAAUAUUUUAUUAUGCUAUGACCCGCUGUGCAGAGGAUAUCGUCAUCUAGACUUUUAAGCAACAGCAGAAACUG